GUAUUGGUGGUUCAGCGGUAGAAUCCCCGCCCUCCACGCAGGAGACCCAGGUUUGAUUCCCCGCCAAUGCA
rnacentral:tRNA from 1 species